rnacentral:rRNA from 1 species
AACGAACGCUGGCGGCAUGCCUAACACAUGCAAGUCGAACGAGAUCUUCGGGUCUAGUGGCGCACGGGUGCGUAACGCGUGGGAAUCUGCCCUUUGGUUCGGAAUAACAGUUGGAAACGACUGCUAAUACCGGAUGAUGGCGAAAGUCCAAAGAUUUAUUGCCAGAGGAUGAGCCCGCGUAGGAUUAGCUAGUUGGUGUGGUAAAGGCGCACCAAGGCGACGAUCCUUAGCUGGUCUGAGAGGAUGAUCAGCCACACUGGGACUGAGACACGGCCCAGACUCCUACGGGAGGCAGCAGUGGGGAAUAUUGGACAAUGGGCGAAAGUCUGAUCCAGCAAUGCCGCGUGAGUGAUGAAGGCCUUAGGGUUGUAAAGCUCUUUUACCCGGGAUGAUAAUGACAGUACCGGGAGAAUAAGCUCCGGCUAACUCCGUGCCAGCCGCCGCGGUAA